CGCGAAGAACCUUACCUAAGCUUGACAUCCUUUUGACCUCUCCCUAAUCGGAGAUUUCCCUUUGGGGACAGAAGUGACAGGUGGUGCAUGGUUGUCGUCAGCUCGUGUCGUGAGAUGUUGGGUUAAGUCCCGCAACAAGCGCAACCCUUGCCUUUAGUUGCCAGCAUUAAGUUGGGCACUCUAGAGGGACUGCCAGGGAUAACCUGGAGGAAGGUGGGGAUGACGUCAAAUCAUCAUGCCCCUUAUGCUUAGGGCUACACACGUGCUACAAUGGGUGGUACAGAGGGCAGCCAAGUCGUGAGGCGGAGCUAAUCCCUUAAAGCCAUUCUCAGUUCGGAUUGUAGGCUGAAACUCGCUUACAUGAAGCUGGAGUUACUAGUAAUCGCAGAUCAGAAUGCUGCGGUGAAUGCGUUCCCGGGUCUUGUACACACC
rnacentral:rRNA from 1 species